GAUGAACGCUGGCGGCGUGCCUAAUACAUGCAAGUCGAGCGGACGGACGAGAAGCUUGCUUCUCUGAUGUUAGCGGCGGGCGGGUGAGUAACACGUGGAUAACCUACCUCUAAGACUGGGAUAACUUCGGGAAACCGUAGCUAAUACCGACUAAUAUUUUGAACCGCAUGGUUCAAAAGUGAAAUACGGUCUUGCUGUCACUUAUAGAUGGAUACGCGCUGCAUUAGCUAGUUGGUAAGGUAACGGCUUACCAAGGCAACGAUGCAUAGCCGACCUGAGAGGGUGAUCGGCCACACGGGAGCGGAGACACGGUCCAGACUCCUACGGGAGGCAGCAGUAGGGAAUCUUCCGCAAUGGGCGGAAGCCUGACGGAGCAAAGCCGCGGGAGCGAUGCGGGUCGUCGGAGCGUAAAACUCUGUGACCAGGGAAGAACAUAUGUGUAAGUAACUGUGCACAUUUUGACGGUACCUAAACAGAAAGCAACGGCCAACUACGUG
rnacentral:rRNA from 1 species